AGCAUAGUGGCUCAGUGGACAGAACAUGGGCUUUGGAGCCAGAGGUCAUGGGUUCGAAUCCUGUCUCUGUCA
rnacentral:tRNA from 1 species